rnacentral:lncRNA from 1 species
UAAAUUGAACAGUAAAAUUUAGUUAUUAUAAUAAUUUUAAAAAAGUUUAAGCUAGAAAUUGUAACGAUGCAAAGUUUGGGAACUCAUCAGUAAUAGGUCGCAAUAAGUCAUCUAAAUUGAAAAGUAAAACUUAGUUACAAUAAUAAUUUAAAAGAGUUUAAAUCAGAAACUGUAACAAUGUAAAGUUUGAGAACUACGAGUGGUGAGAAAGCAUGAUAGAAAUUAAUAAUGUUAACGAAGGAGGAGCUCAUGAAAAGGAAAAAAUAAAAUCAUAGAAUACUAAAUUAACAAACUUUAAAUUAAUUAUAAAGUACUAAACUAAAAAAGCGCAAAAUCAUAAAAAUAACAUUUAAAAUUUAUCGAUCGAUUAAAGUACUGAACGAAUUUAAAGUGUGACGUGCCUCAUAGUUUAAGGAUCAAAAGUGUAAUAAUAUAUAGGAAAAAUUACUUAUAUACUCCUGAAAAAUUUCCGACUUUCUGAUUUACCCCUCUUGGAAGACUAAUAUUGAAAUUACCUUUUUUAUGUUCCAACUUAUUUUAUAUAUACUCCUAGAGUUAAAAUUUGUUAAUGAACUUGUUAUCUCUAUGAAAUUACUAUUUUUCCCUUUUAAAUAUAUUUCCUUAUACCAUCAUCGACUUUUUUUAUUUUUUCUUAAGUUAGGGGCAUAAAAAGUAUUUUGCUUUUUGAUUUUUUUAAAUAUACCCUUCUACCAUCACCAAUAUUUCUUAUUUGCUCUUAAGUUAAGGACAAAAGUGUUAUUUUAAUAUUUUUUUAAUUGUAGUUGAUAUUUAACUUACAUUUAACUCACAUUAACUUAACGGAUGAUAACUGUAGGAGUAUUUUGGAAUAACUGAAGAACAUAUGAAAGGUAUAUUGGAAAGAAAAGAAAAAAGAGUAAAUAAAAUAUUUUUAAAAUUUUGAGGGAUUUUUGUGCAAUUAUCCAUAAUAUAUA